CACGUAGGGGGCAAGCGUUGUCCGGAUUUAUUGGGCGUAAAGAGCUCGUAGGCGGCUCAGUAAGUCAGGUGUGAAACCUCCAGGCUCAACCUGGAGACGCCACCUGAUACUGCUGUGGCUAGAGUCCGGUAGGGGAGCGUGGAAUUCCUGGUGUAGCGGUGAAAUGCUUAGAUAUCGGGUGGAACACCAGUGGCGAAGGCGGUGCUCUGGGACGGUACUGACGCUGAGACGCGAAAGCGUGGGGAGCGAACAGG
rnacentral:rRNA from 1 species